UACGUAGGGGGGCAAGCGUUGUCCGGAUUUAUUGGGCGUAAAGAGCGUGUAGGCGGCCAAACAGGUCAGCUGUGAAAACUCGAGGCUCAACCUCGAGACGUCGGUUGAAACCGUUUGGCUAGAGUCCGGAAGAGGAGAGUGGAAUUCCCGGUGUAGCGGUGAAAUGCGCAGAUAUCGGGGAAGAACACCCCGUGGCGAAGGCGGCUCUCUGGGGACGGUACUGACGCUGAGACGCGAAAAGCGUGGGGGAGCGAACAGGAU
rnacentral:rRNA from 1 species